AACGAACGCUGGCGGCAGGCUUAACACAUGCAAGUCGAACGAGAUCUUCGGAUCUAGUGGCAGACGGGUGAGGAACACGUGGGAACAUCCCUUUCAGUUCGGAAUAACGUUGGGAAACUAACGCUAAUACCGGAUACGUCCUUCGGGAGAAAGAUUUAUCGCUGAAAGAUUGGCCCGCGUCUGAUUAGCUAGUUGGUGAGGUAAUGGCUCACCAAGGCUACGAUCAGUAGCUGAUCUGAGAGGAUGAUCAGCCACAUUGGGACUGAGACACGGCCCAAACUCCUACGGGAGGCAGCAGUGGGGAAUAUUGGACAAUGGGCGCAAGCCUGAUCCAGCCAUGCCGCGUGAGUGAUGACGGCCUUCGGGUUGUAAAGCUCUUUUGUCCGGGAAGAUAAUGACUGUACCGGAAGAAUAAGCCCCGGCAAACUUCGUGCCAGCCGCCGCCGUAACAC
rnacentral:rRNA from 1 species